rnacentral:rRNA from 1 species
UACGAAGGGUGCAAACGUUGCUCGGAAUUAUUGGGCGUAAAGCGCACGUAGGCGGCAUUGCAAGUCGGAUGUGAAAUCCCUCGGCUUAACCAAGGAAGUGCAUCCGAAACUGCAGUGCUUGAGUACUUAAGAGGAUCGCGGAAUUCCCGGUGUAGAGGUGAAAUUCGUAGAUAUCAAGAGGAACACCUGAGGUGAAGACGGGUUGCUGGGCUGACACUGACGCUGAGGCGCGAAAGCCAGGGGAGCAAACGGG